GGUGAGGAUGGGACCUGUGGCAGAGUGUGGGGUUGAGCACCCCCCAGGCCCAGAGGAAGUCAAGCUGGCACCUGUGGUGUAGAGGUUGCAGAAUCCUAACUUGAAGAGUCCGGAGGCUGCGUCUGAAGAGGCAAGACCCGUGCAGGAGGAGCCGAAGAGCUAGUAAGAAAAGACAAACUGCUGCAGAGAGAGAGAAAGAAAAGCUGGAAUGGAACAAAACUGACUGACCAGGAGCUGAACAGCACCAGCAGUGCUUUGAUUUUUAAAAGAAAGGAGCAACAGGUUGAUAGACUGUUUCUUCAGGAUAUUUUCUGCCUAUCAAGGGCCAGAUUUUCAACAGGACUCAGCAAAUGGGUGCACCACUGGUCAUUGAGCAUUUUUGAAAAUUGGACCCCAAGCUCUUUCAGAAACCUGUCCCUAAAUAUCUAGUGCCAAGACUUCUCAAUUCUAGUCAGUGAACCUCAGACCCCUGUGACUUACUUAACCAACUGAAGAAUGUCUUUAGGAAGAAAUUUAACCAACAUGUAAAAUAAACCAGCUAACAACUGGGGAACAGAGAUAAUAGAAAAAGACUUAGAACUGAUGGAUAAGUGACCUUGGACAAACCCCAAUAUGGAAUUUCAUUAAUCUUUCUGAAUAGAAGCCAACCAGUCAAGUGACCAAAAGCUCACCUUCAGAAUAAAAUUCAGGUUUGUUUCCACACUGAGCUUUGAAAUUAAUGUUUGUUAAGCACUUUAAGAUUAAACAAAAAUCCACUGUUGGGAUUAUUUUCCAGAGGCCUGGAGAGAUCAAGGGAUUAGUCAAGCAACAUACAGUGAAGCAUAUCACCUCCUGAGUCAGUGGUCCAAAUGAUGCCCAAAACAAUAAGAGAUUAAUAUGUGAUGAUCUAUGUGAAAUAAGUCUGUAACCUUUGUGCAAUUUCUGAUGGACAGAUGUCCAUAACAUGAUGCCAGUGCUCAGCACUUGCCACUUGCUGAAAAUAAGGCCUCCUUAAAAUAUCUCAAGUUAGGCAUCCAAAAUCACUGUCACUUCUGAAAUUUAGGCUAGUACUUCAUAAGUGAAUGGAUCUGUUUCUGCAUUCCUGAUCCUGAUGCAUUCAAAACGCCCACCUACUUGCAUGAAAGAUUUUUGGCAGCAACAAUAGUGCAGUGUUAUGACCAGUGUUAGAUUUGUAAUGAGCUAUACAGAAGAAAAAUGCAAUGUAAGUGUAUAUUAUUUCAGCAUAUUUCCUGGCAUUUAUGGCUCUAAGUGCUACUGCAAUAUAAGUAUAAUAGUUAUAGUUUAGUAAUAAUAAGCAUAUUCACACAUUUUCAAAGAUGGGACCACAACCUCAGCUAGCAUAAAUUGGCAUAGCUCCUCUGAAAUCGCCUUGAAGUCACUGCGAGUUUUGCCCUUGGUUUCCCUGGUAUCAGGAUUAUAAAUUUACACCUGCUGUGUCAACUGAGGACUUUUACAGAUGUGGU